rnacentral:lncRNA from 1 species
AGAACCGACCAGCCUCCUCCAUUACCGCCACCGCGUCUCACCACCGUCCAACGUCGUACCCUCCCUAAAUUUUCACCAUAGCUUCACCUUGAAUUCCUCGUUCAUGUUGUAGCCUCAGAUUUUCGAGAAUCGGCCCCUACAAUCCUAGAUUUGAAGUAAUAGCUGACGGCUUCAACCCCUUUUUUCUGCUGUUCUCCAUUGUCCGAUUUGGCUAGGCUUUUACUAAGUUGUUGCUUUUGUUCACCUCU